UCUUGCCAUGACAGAGAUCAUCUCCUGAUCUGCAAAAACAAUUACCCAGUGUAGGAACUACGUGGGCUCAAGGCUUCUUCUUGAGCUUCUUCACGUCCAUAGCUCUGGUACCAUGUUAGAUUUUAGGGUAAUAAUGCAGAACAGUA
rnacentral:pre_miRNA from 1 species